rnacentral:rRNA from 1 species
AAACUCAAAUGAAUUGACGGGGACCCGCACAAGCGGUGGAUGAUGUGGUUUAAUUCGAUGCAACGCGAAAAACCUUACCUACCCUUGACAUGUCAAGAAUUCUGCAGAGAUGUGGAAGUGCUCGAAAGAGAACUUGAACACAGGUGCUGCAUGGCCGUCGUCAGCUCGUGUCGUGAGAUGUUGGGUUAAGUCCCGCAACGAGCGCAACCCUUGUCAUUAGUUGCUACGAAAGGGCACUCUAAUGAGACUGCCGGUGACAAACCGGAGGAAGGUGGGGACGACGUCAGGUCCUCAUGGCCCUUAUGGGUAGGGCUACACACGUCAUACAAUGGCCGGUACAGAGGGCUGCCAACCCGCGAGGGGGAGCUAAUCCCAGAAAACCGGUCGUAGUCCGGAUCGUAGUCUGCAACUCGACUGCGUGAAGUCGGAAUCGCUAGUAAUCGCGGAUCAGCUUGCCGCGGUGAAUACGUUCCCGGGUCUUGUACACACCGCCCGU